UCACUCUUUCUAAUCCUUUUCUGAUGCCU
rnacentral:piRNA from 1 species